rnacentral:lncRNA from 1 species
UCCACCACUACCGAUCCCUUGGUGAGCUAUCUUGGGUAACAGUUUUGCCCAAGUGAAUGACAGGCCACCAUAUACACACUGCAACAGCAGCCGUCCUAAGCCCUCGAAUUUCUUAAUUACAAACCCGUUUUCUUCUGAAUCAACCUCAAACCUUCAGGCUGAGCCCCGAGGGAGCCUGAGCAAGUUUGCACAAACACACACACACACACACACACACACACACACACACACACACCCCUCCCUGAUCAAGGGCAACAGCAAAAGCAAGUAACUGUGUAUGUGCAAAAAGGUGGAUCUGGGGAAGAGGAUCGCUG